GUUCACCUGAGAGGCCAAUGCCCUUUAGAAGAAGCUGUGGGCUACCAACCAUGGGACCCCUAAAGUAAAUCUCUAUUCAUACUUAUUGAUAUAAAACUCACCUUCAGAGAAAAUUUGGAAAAUAUCUAGCUCCAAGAGUGGCCAGAGUAAUUUGCUGAUAAGACUGUUCUCUAACUAGCAUCAUGUUAAAAACAAACACAUACUUCUCUCAUCUUGAAUCUGUUGCUCCUACCCUGCUUACUAGGGGUGGUAGGCAACAGGCCAGCUCCUGCUUAGUAGGCCUGAUGUAGCUUUAGUAAAGACAGUCCCCACCAUCAAGGGAUCCAACUACCUAGAGUAACAGCAUUAAGUCUUCAGCCAGUGCAGCACAGUGUCUCACUUAUAGGCACUCAAUUUGCUUCCUGAAUGAAUUAAAGUACAAUAUUUCAUUUGAAAGCAGACUGUAAAAUUCAGGGACUUUAAAAGGGAAGGGUAAAGACAGGGUCUGGGAACAGUCCUUUGGUAGACAGCAGGCUGGAGUUUCUGCUGGCCCCUGCCUUGGACACAGACUUCACCAGCAGAAGCAGCAGCAGCAGCACCACCAUGUCUUUGGUGUGGAAGGACAGGUCUGAUACCACCUCAUCUCUGGAUGUGUCUCAAAGCCUUGUGGAGGAAAGGCUGGUUUUUAGGUCAUAUAGCCAGGACACCAUGGGACAGAAUCAUUGUGGGCUGUAAACAGGAGAUUAAGCCUUCUCAACUGGAGUCCUGCAUUUUCUCUGCCUCUCUUAUUACACAGUUCAUUCAUACUUAGCUCCUAACACUUCUGGCCUGGCCUCAAGGAGUUAAAAUUGCAAAGCCUUAAACUAUCAGGAUACUUGCUUCAAAGACUACUGACUAAAGGCAGAGGCUCCUACUUGAAAAGUUAGGUAGAAAAUAACUACCUAAGCUAAAACCCUCCCUUUGAAAUUCACCUUACAAAUGACCAUUUUACCCAAGGUCCUGUGGGGAGGAAAAAGCUAGAACAUGGAGCUAGUGGAGAAACUGAUAACUACCUAAAAUUACAAAAGGCUAUGCUCUGGAAUGUAUUCAUAUCCCAACACUUCAAUGAUGGAAUGGUCUUCUCAAUUUACCUAACACUUUAUUUUAUAAAGAGUAAGAGCUACAUUUGGCUUUAUUCCCUAUGAGUCUAUGAAAGGCUUCAUUUCAGGAUGCAUGCUAAGUUUCUGAGGUGUAAGUGUGGGCUUAGGAUAAUUUUUUUUGUCUGCAUCUGGAAGGUUUUUUUUUUUUAUCAAAAAGUUCUAUUUUAAAAAUAUCAUCAAAACUAAAGGGCUCUUCAAAUGACCAGAAAGCAGUACAAAUUACUAAUCCUAGCUAUGCAACCAGGUCACCUGCAAGAGCAGCACCUCUGAGAUAGAGCCUGCUGCAUUCACACUCAAAGCACCCAUCAUAUAAAAGUAUCCUAUUUAAAUAUAUAUAUAUAUAUAUAUAUAUAUAUAUAAAAGCAAAGCUCGUUUCCCACAGCUGAAACAGCCGCUGCUGUUCCUGUUUUACACAAUCUGCCUGUGGCUUAAGGAGAGGGAACGCUGCUUUUCCCACAGUGAGUCCAACUCCUGCAACAGAUCCUGAAGUCUGGCUGGACCUUAAGUUCCGGGAGAGAAGCAGGCUGAGCAGUCCGUGGUGGGCAAAAGGCUCACUGAGCACUGUGAGAGGUCAUCAGAUCUGGAGACGCCGGACCCGGGAGAGGAGUGUCUCUCAUCACCUCCGUGGCUUGGGAAACAGAAAUCUGGGACAUGUCUCUCCCAAUAAUCUCGUUCACUAAAAAAGAAAAAGAAGAGUAUUAGCAACUUCAAAGGAAUAUCGUAUGAGGUUUUCUUUUCUUCUCUUAAGACACUUCCUUCCGAUGGCUUGCUGCAGAGCAGACUGGCACUAAGAUGGAAGCAUCACUCCUCAAGGGGCUCAAGAACUCCCUUUUCCCCACCUAACUUCAGUUUGGACUUUAAAAGUAAUGGCCGAGAACAGGCAAUCUGUUGUUAAAAUAUACUUUACUCUAUGUGU
rnacentral:lncRNA from 1 species